CUCCGCCUUCUAGGCCUCCUCCUCCAUUUGACACAAAAAAAGCCACUUCUGCAGACAAUGGAAAAAGGGAAAAAGAAUCCUUAUCCCAGCCUACUCAAAGCUAUACUUAUACAAAAGAUAAAGCAAGGAAACCUGUUGUAUCUCCAAUAGAUGAACUUGAAGAUUUUGCGAUGGGCAAGCCUCAGACGCAUUCACAGGACCAUGCAGAUAUCUUUACUAGAGAAAACAAUAUAGAGGCAAAUUCAGAUGCUGCAGCAUCUGCAGCUGCUAUGAAGGAGGCUGUGGACAGAGCUGAGGUAAAGUUCAGGCAUGCUAGGGGGUUAAGGGAGAGAGAACGCAAUCCAAAGUCAACUAAAAGCAGAGUACCUGUAUGGCACGAAAGAGUUCAAAAAGCAAAAAUAUGUGAACAUGAUGUAGAAGAUAAAGAGAAUCAAGAAAGAAUAUAUAAGGAACAACAACAGAAGGAAUGGAGGAGAAUUGAAAAAGAAAGAAAAAAAGAACAGGCCAGACAAGCUGCAGAGAGAGCUACAAGAGAGGUACAGGAACGGUCAGCUGCUGAAGGUCGACUAAAAGCUGAGAAGGCAGCUGCAGGAAUACAUGAAAGAGCUGCAGCAGAGGCUCGAGAAAGAGCAGCAGCAGAAGCAAGAGACAAAGCUGCAGGAGAAAAGCAGCAGAAACCUGAAAAUGACCUCGAGUCUUUCUUCUCAAUGGGUACUCAAGCAAGCAGUUCACCCAAGCAAAGGGCUACAGUAGUGAGUACAUAUCAAAAUUUUGGGGCAAUUCUUAUUACCAAAGCUGAUCACGUAAUGGAUGUUUCAGGAAUCCAUGUUUGAUGUUCAAUCUCAAAGCAAGGGUGGUUAUGAUGGGACAAGAACAUCUUCAAGUUUCUCAUCUACCAUCAGGAAGGCAUCUUCCACAACAAAUAUUGUGGAUGAUCUAUCUUCCAUUUUUGGAGGUAGUGUUCAUAGUUCUUCCAAAUUGAUUGAUUAUCUACACCCUUGCAGUUAUAGUAGAUUUAGCUAAAUAGUUUCUUUAUCAUUUAAAGCUCCUCAAUCAUCUGGAGAGUUCCAAGAAGCUGGAGAGAGUGAAGAAAGAAGAAAAGCUAGACUGGAACGGCAUCAAAGGACACUUGAGCGUGCGGUACUUUAUUCCUGUCUAUGUUUUUUAAAUAAAAUAUUAGUGAUAGUAGAGAAACUUUGUCUUCUGUCUGGCCAUCUGAUGCUAGAAUCUUAUAAUCUCUUAUGUUACUACGAUUAUUUUUGGCCAGGCCAAAGCAUUGGCAGAGAAAAAUGAGCGUGAUAUGCAAAUUCAGAGGGAGCAGGCAGAAAGACAAGUAAGCAACUUGUUGAUCUGAAAGGCUUACCGGCCUAUACCUGAAUAGACAAUGAAUGAUGGAUCAUGUUAUAUUAUAUCAUAAUGCUUGAUAUUUCACAUCAAUUAGUUUGCCCUUAAUUGUGGUUGUCACUAAUUUCAGAGGAUUGCAGAAGCACUGGAUUUUGAUAUAAAACGUUGGGCUUCUGGGAAAGAAGGAAAUUUGCGUGCCUUGUUAUCAACAUUGCAAUAUGUGGGUUAUUAGAAUUUGUUGACCGUUAUCUAUCGAGGAGCUUAUCUGUUGUUUCUUACUUUUCUCUUCUCCUUUUAUGUCAUGUUACUAUUUGAUAUUAAUUAAUCUUGAUCGACUAGCAUGUCCACGUAAACCAAUCAUUGUUUUUUAUGAUCCUCUUUGGCUGCAUAAGGGCCCUGUUGAGGGGGUGAGGUGCAGCUUAUAUUUUCUUGUACCAUUUUGCAUUUACUUCUAAUUUUGCAAAUGCAGGUAGUUUGGCCCGAAUGCAGUUGGCAGCCUGUAUCUUUGACUGAUUUGAUCACUGCUGCUGCAGUGAAAAAGGUUUAUAGAAAGGCAACCUUGUGUCUCCAUCCGGAUAAGGUGCAACAGAAGGGUGCAAAUCUUCAACAAAAAUAUAUUGCUGAGAAAGUGUUUGAUCUCCUUAAGGUACUUAUCUGUUUCUCAGUUGUUUUUGUUGCCAAAUCUAUCCAUGUGAAUCCCUUCGGCCCUCAGAAACUGAUGCUUAUAGCAGUUAUUAUUCUUGUCUUCUACCUAUUUUUAAGAUUGUGAUGUUUCACGUUUCAAGCCAAACGUCAUAUUGGCUACCCAAAUCAUCACCCCAGCUACGCCUGUGGAUUCACUCAUGCAAACAGCUUUGUGAGCCACAUGUAAUGUGCUUUGCAUCAUAGUAAUUUCUAAUAAUUUUCCUGCAUCAUAGUAAACUACCAUUAACGUAAAUUAAGCAUUAUUUGGUAAUAAACAUUAGAUGUUUCAGGAUUUGAAAAUAAUCUCUAUUAACUUCUGUCAUUGACCAUAAUUGAUAACUUCCAUUUUUUUAGUGCUGUACCCAUAUAUAGACUCUAAACAUAUUUCAAGGUCCGUAUUCAGGAAAUAGAUAAAUGAACAUGUGACAUGGUUAUCUGGAAGAAUUUCUUCCAUGUUUAUCAAUAUUAUAUCCAUGUAGCUUGCCAUGUUAUGUGCACUAUUAAUUACUGAUAUCUAGUAAUGUUUUCAUUUCAAUUAGGAAGCAAGACAAAGUUUUACCGACAUUACUGAGAAAGUUCUUGCCAGUUUGCUUUUCCACUGCUCAUCAUAAAAUCUUUUAGUUGCUUCUUUAAUGAAACAAGAUAGCUAUUUGAACAGGUUAACCUAACAAUCAAAAUACUUCACUUACAACCACCAAAUCCAUUAGCCUAGUAAUAAAUUUAUCUGUGUCAACUUUACCAAAAUAUUUCAAGUAAAAGAUGCUAGAAAAUGGACUAGCCUUUGUUGUAUAAAAUAGGAUUUUGGUAAGAGCAGUUUGGGCAGGGAAACUAGUGACUUUCGAGGUAAUUUGCAUCAAGGGUCAACAAGACCUUUUACCUAUUUGCACUAGAAUAGAUGAAAUUGUGUUGUGUUUUUCAGUUUGAAGUUUUAAGUGAUGUUCUACUAGCUGAUUAUUCUGUUUGGACAAUAAAGGGAGGCAGGUGAACAAACUAUUUUAAUGUAAUUGAAGCAAAUGAUCAACAAUUACAACCUAAAGUAUGUCUUCAGUACUUUGGAUCUAUAAUUCAACUAAAGAGGAAUUCUAGCAAUAUUUCCUACAAAUCAAAAGCUGUAUGGUUAGACUAUAAAAUUCUUGUCUUGUUGUAAUCAUCCAACCUGAAAGAAAAAGAUCUUAUAGGAUGACUGUACUAUCAAUCAACUGUGGAUUGUAAGAUUAGGCAGUUAAAAAAUAAUAUAUCCAUUAAUAUAAAGAAAAAAGUAUGUCUGAGAUGUUAACAUAUAUAUACAAGAACAUUGAGGUGGGUUGGUGGUGUUCCUAGCAAAAAAAGUAAUUCCAUUUAAUGUAAGUUACAGGUAGUUUAUAUCCGAGGAUAUGAUGGUACAAAAUCUUUUGUGGUUAGGUUGGAGGUGAUCAAUGUAGAAGGGCAAAUAAACUCGAGCAUAAGCUCAAGUUCACAUGUACUGGUCUUAUGGGUUGACAAUAAACUAGCUUUACCAUCCUCAAAACAAAAUUUGUGGAAAUUUAGCUUGCUGCGCUAAGAUCCAUGCCUCCUUGUGUUUUCCUUAUUUCUCAUAAUAUUUUCUUUUUGACAUGAUGUAGGAAGCUUGGAACAAGUUCAGUUCUGCAGAGCUCUUUUUAUAGGAUCGACUACAUCGUUGUCCGGGAGAUACAGAGAGGGCAAGUGCAUUCUCAAUUACACUACAAUCCAUGUUUAUUCCAUUGGUUUUCUUGAUGUGGUGAUCAUUUAGCAACGUCCUGCUUCACCCGUGUAGAUGCAGAUUUGAAUUAGGAAACUAUAUCUCUUUAAUGAGAUAUAUAUGUUCGUUGUGUAAAUCCAUGCCAUUGAUUAGAUUACAAAAACUAGUUUCGGUGAAGAAAGCUUGUCAAACACUACCCUUUUUCUUGUGACGGGUUAUGGAUGACUGUUCGACUUGAAUUAGCAAAGCAAAUGCACUGAACUGUAUCAAGUGGUGAUGCGUAGAUAUGCAUCACACUUGAGUGUGUUGUAUACAUAUAUGUAUACUUAAAAGUUUGUUCUAUACUUUCCUUUUGCACCUUCUAUUCUUUGUUUUUUUCUUUGCUCAGUGGAUCUUCUCGGGUUCCGUUACAUCUCUUAGUAUAAAUAUGAAUUGUUGAUCUAAAAUCCGUUACUACAUGACUUGGACACAAACUAAUGUUUUUCUAGAUAAAUUGCGAGACAAAGAGGAAAAGAGAGGAGUAGUAGAAGGCAAUGAGAAGGUGAAGGAGGAGGUGAGGCGGAGUUAGAAGAGGAGAUUCAGCAUAAGACAGAGGAGAGGAGGGUGAAAUGGUUCAUUGACUCAAAUCGGUUAAUAAAAUUUUCUUAAGUAAAAACGAUUAUAAGAGGUAUAAUUAUAUGGUACAUUUUCAUUCAAAGAUUUAUUAUACAAAUAUUUUCAAUGCUUACCUAUUUUCGAUGCUUAAAUUAAUUAUAGAUGGGGCUAUGAAACUCAUACGAGAUACAUAUUUGAUCCUCCAACCAUUACUAUGUUUUUAGCUCUUGCAAAAAAAAUUUCUCUCCCCUAAAUUUUAAAUACUCAAUAAAGUUUCUUUUAAGAUAAUAUUCGAAAAACAAGUAAGUCGAAUUUAAUUUUAUCAAGUCAAAUUAAUGAUUAAAUUUGAUCUUCUAUGCUAUUCUACUGGAUUUAAUGGUUGAUAUCAACACACAAUAAACAUUCAAAAUAUUUUAUAUUUUCUAAGGUGGGGUUGAUUUAGCAGUAGUGAUUUUGUUGACCAUCUUGGAGUCAAUUUUCAGCUAUAUGUUUUUAAAUAUUUUUCAGUUAUUUUGAUGUAUUUAUUGUUAUUAUCUCUGGGAAUAUAUUAGGGUGAUUUUUUGAAAAAAAAAAUAUUUUUUUUAAAUUUUUUUAGAUAAUAUUUUUUCUUAUAUUUUUUUUCAUUUUGUGUAUUUAUUUUCUCUAGCAUCCUAAAUGUCAUUAGUUGUUGCUAAUACUCUCUUUCUUUGUUGUCAUGGUGACACUACUAAUUGUCAGACAUCUUCUUUUCGACUAUCUCAAAGUUGAUUCGCUUUUGUCUUGUUGUGAUCGUCAUCAUCCUCGUCACAUAACGAGAUUCUACUCUCUUCGUCUUUCUAAUUUAAUUGUCACUUUCAUCAUAUCGUUUAAAACUUUAUCAUUAUCGUCCUAUCAUGACAAUAAUCAAUGUUCAACCUAUCAAUGAAAAAAGAAAAAGGUAUAAUAUUAGAGAAAAAUAGAAUUAAAAUUAAAGACAUUGAGUCGAAAAAGAUAAGAGUUUUUCAAAAAAAUCACCCAAUAUAAUAGCUGGAUAAUCUCAAUAUGAUACAUAAGAUAAAUAUUAUAUAAUUAUUCAUUUUUUUCACACUCAUUUUACCAAAAUUUGAGAGAAUUUUUAUCAAAUUUAGAUACAGUAAUACCUGCCGUGAAAGAAAAAUGAACGGGUUGGAAAAAUACAAUGUAAUUUUCUUUAAUACGGUAUAAACGCGUGGGAUCCGCUUCUUCCGAGUUUGACCAGGACACUUCGGUCAACGCGACGGUGGCACACGGUAAUUAGCGAGUCUCCUCUUCCUAUUUAACCGACCCCUUUCCUCUUCUACUCUUUCGUUUCUGUUUCCGCGGCGAACCGCUCAAAUAAAAAGAGGAGAGGAGGUGAGAGGUAGCGAUGGCGGAGAGCCCGAGCUCGAUUGAAUCGAUCAGGAAAUGGAUCGUGGAGCACAAGCUGCGGGCCGUCGGUAAUUUCUUGAAUAUUGGGUUAUUUUUCUCUCUGUCUCGCUCUUUCUAUUGAGAUUCGAGGGAUCUGAUGGGUUUCUUUUGUCUAGGGUGCCUUUGGCUCAGCGGGAUAGGGAGUUCGAUCGCCUACAACUGGUCGCGCCAUAACAUGAAACCCAGCGUCAAGAUCAUCCACGCGAGGUUUGUUCUCGCUGAUCUGUUCUUGCCUGCGCGAACAAUUUCUUGUUUUUGUCUAAUUAUUAGAAAAAUAGAUCUUGUCUUGUGCUUAGUGCUGCUGUCGUGUGACGAAUUGCUGCGAUGAUCUAACGUUUUAAGAAUUAGGGGUUUUUUGUGUUCGGUUCAACUGAUACGAGAUCUGUUCGUUCGAAUGGGUCUUCUCGAAGAAAAGUUUGGUCCUUGAAUCGUGGGUGAGAUGGUUGACGGACUUAUAACAAGUCUUGGGAUGAUAUAUAUUUAGAUAUAUAGCUGCUGAAGAAUAUAUGAUCUUUACUUCCACUUCAACGAGACAUUGAUAAAGGCCAAAAUUGCUGAUCACGGAUUGAAGCCUUUCUAAUUUAAGAGGAUCCUAGCCCGGAUUACAUUAAGGGAUAUGCUGGAUUGGUGCCUGUCAUGAAACGGCCAUUUACUAGCUUAUGGGAUUGGCAGUGUUUUUAUGCAUGUCCGUAUUGCUAUACUUGUUUUUGUUAGUAAGCCUUAGUCUUUUUACCAAAGUACUCAAUAAACCAUAGAUGCAGCUUUCGUAAGGUUUAUGAGAGCUUAGAUGUGCUUAUAGAUAUAUUCACCUUCAUAACAAAACUUAAGUGCUUGUCUAAUUCUUGGUGGCUGAGCAAAUAAGUCAUAAGAUUUGUCCUGAAUAGCUAUUUUAUGUUUUUUUAUUUUAGUUUUUAUAGUGUUCAUAAGUAAUUUCUUAACGUAUGAUAUUUUUUACACUACUUUCUGAAACAGUUUGUUUAUCAAGAUCCAGUUUCGGCUAUUAUUGCUGGAUGGCCAAACCAAUGAAGUUGAUAAAACCUUAGAUACAUCUAAAUAGUAAGCUAGCACCUUAAUUUGCUUUGGUCAAGAAAUUAGGGAAGAUUACAUGCAUAGGAACAAGAAUUUGUAUCAUAUCCAUGUCCAUUAUGGAAGGAUUACAUCAAGCUUGUUUGUAAACCAUGUUAACCAUUUUUCCCAUGCAUGGUGAAGUAUAGUAAUGUUUGAAAUAUUUUUAUAUUUUUGUAAGACCUUCAAUCUGCAAUUGCAUAGAUCCAGUUAUAAGACCAUGGAAUUUUUUUGAACAUAGAAUAUGUGUGGUGUAAGGUGUUACAGUCUGUUUCAUUCCCAAGAAAACGAAAGAAAAGAAAAUAUAUUUACUUUCCUUUUUUUCUAUACAAGAACAAUAAAAAGUUCAUUUUCAUUCACUUCUUAGGCACCAAAUUAACCCUUGAAGAAAGAAAGGAACAAGAAAUGGAAAUGGGGACGUUUGUUUGAUAACUACAGUUGAAUUUUAGGUCAAUAGUUAAUUGCAUACUUGCCAUAAUAUACGGAACUCUAUAAAUUUACCUGAAAGUAUAUUUGGAUCUAAAGGAUUAUUAAAAAAAUUAUUUGAUGUGCCUUAAGAAGAAUUAAGUUUGCUAAAUAUGUGCAUUUUUCUUGCCUACCAAAUAUAUCAUGGAUUGUAGAAUCACCAAGAGUGUACAUGCUCUGAGACAACCUCUUAUGGUCUAACCAUCAAAAAGUCCUAUAUAUGUUCCCUUUUAGUUAAGCCUUCAUUUUGUACUACAAACUUGAUGGACACCGAAUACAGGGUUUACUCUUUAUAUUAUUAUGCAUUUAGUAUACUGAAGAAUAUUAACAUGUUCAAACCUCCCAUGAACUUGGUAUACUGAAUUCUGCGACGGACAUGAACUGAAGCUCUUUGGACAACUGCCCUUGAAGUUGCUUGCGUGUGAUUGUGAUGCACAGCAAAUCAUUUUGGCAGUUUGCAAUUUUCAUCUGUAACUCAUGUAAUCAUUAACCGUGUGAUUUGAUUUCUUAUCAUUUACCUUCUCUCGAGUUAUUUAGAAUAUGUUAUUAUUCAACAAACGUACACCCGUAUAAAGGUAUCACCAGAAGCUUCAACCUUUUUACCACAUAGAAUCUUAGUUUGUGCAUAUAUCUUCAAGUUUCAUCCUUCUUGAAGUGAUUAUAAGAUUUAGUUUGACGCAGAUUUCUUGGUACAUGUAUCUUGCAGGUUGCAUGCUCAGGCUCUGACACUGGCUGCCUUAGCUGGUGCUGCCUUGGUCGAGUACUACGAUCAUCAGUCUAAACCAGGAUCAAAUGUGGUCAAAUAUCCCGAUCAAUUCCUGGCACACCCACAGAAAGACUAGAAGCAUUUGAUGAGCCGCCCUCACCCUCCAAUAAACUCUCAGAUCACUCGAUUUUUCUUGAUUCGGUGAUUAUUCUUUUCUAAUGCAUUAUGUGCAAACAAUUGCACUAAAAAUCAUUAUUUUCUGUAAAGGCAGAGUUCAGUUUCUGUCGUUGCCACAAUCAUUAUAUUGGCGUUGUCAUUUUGAUGCCUUUUUCUAUUUAAAUUUAUGAAUCAGUUAAAGAUGAUUUAGUUUCCAUGAUCUACUAUAUCAAUGAUGAUUUGGUGUCUGUAUGUAAAUAUAUAGUAUAUCCAUGAUCUACUAUAUAUUUUUAUUUUUGAGUUGGUUCUUUGUGAACUUGUCCAACGUCACUACGUGUGCAUGCAUGCAUGCGGCUGUUUCACGCUAAGAGUCCAUUGUAAUAUUAUUAUUAUUAUUAUUAUUAUUAUUAUUAUUAUAAAUAAAUGAUAAAUACGGAAUUUGCGCUCAGGAUUUUUUCGAUAAACUAUUAUUGCAAAUUAGUGUGCGGUAUUGUAUCAUAUGAUUACCGAUACAUGCCAUAUGCUAAGCACAUGCAUCUCACGGGCAGGCAGUCUGAGCGCUGGAGCUCUCUGUGCGUGGGUGAGCCGGUUUAUUUCUCGGUUCGAUGACGGCCCAUUCUUCGAAGCCGGUCCAGAUUUUGUCCAAUAAAAAAUAGAAUAUGAAUGCGGUUAAUUCAUCCGCGAACGCGCAAGAAAAAGGCAGCUUCUCUUGACGGCUUCACUCUCCAUCCCCAUCCAAUCAUCACCGUCCUCGUCGUCAUCUCACUCCCGGAUGAUUUCUAGGGCUUUGUUGUUUCGCUUUUCAUCUCGAAAGCGGCGAUCCAAUUCAUACUCUCACGACGAGUGGUGCUGAUUCUUGUCAGAUCUCGGCCCUGGAGAGACAAGGCAGGGUUUGUCGAGGUUCCCAUUUCCGCCUUCUCUUCGGUUUUUGAACCUUUUUUGUGCCCAAUUUGUCUUUCGCCCUCUCUAUUCGUCUGUUUCUUGGACCUAAAGUGGAACAUCAUCGGAUCGGUGGAGAAUCAAGAACCGGUUGAGACGAUGUAGCCGUAAAUCUUUAUCAAAACAUGCCCAUUCUUGAAGAUUCUGGGUUGACUAGAUCUCGCAUUGUGUGAUGGUAAUCCUCGAAAGUAAAUUUGGUGCUUUCGUUUCUUGGAGUAUUCGAGUUUCGAACUGUAAAAACGGAAAGAAACAAAAAUCUUGACCCAAUCUUCUUCCUCAAUGCGUUCUUUAAAGUUUUGACUUCCAGGACUGAGACCUUGUCGCAACCAUAUGUUCUUCAUUCAUAUGAAAUCUUUAUACUUAUUUCAGUAAUUCGAUCUUCAUGGGUCUGAUGCUAAAAUUUUAUUCAUUGCCAGUUCUCUGACAAGCAAUACUUUCUCUGGUUUCAUAGUGCAAUUCAUAUUGACUGGAUUUGUCUAAUUUGUUUUGACAUGUAAAUCGGUAAUCUUGAUAGGGUUUGAAAUGUGAACUCUGCUUUAAGAUGUUCCACCAGAGCAAGAUCAAGUUGGCUGCGCUCGUGGGGAUCACAUUGUCCGUGCUUUCUUUGCUUGUGCACAUUUUUGUUGCAAAUUAUUCAGUGGGGGACUUUCUACGAUACAAGUUGCAAGAAGACUACUUAUACCCACAGGGACAUGUAUGUUAAUACCACGCAUCCAACUAUCAGCAUUUCUUAUUUUACAUUUUAUUUUAUGGUCAUACUAAAUUUGGUAUUUAUUUUUAGGAAGCGUCCUUUUUGACCUCACACUUCAUCUUAAGAUUUUCCUUAAAAAAAAAGCUUCUUGUUGUUUAUGUUGGCUAUAGUAGUUUAAUCAUAGUAUACUCUUACAGAAACUUUGGCAUCGAAGGUUGUGGGGUCCGGUGAGCUCCUUGGAGGUCUUGCAACCAUAUGCUAAGCCGAGAAAUUUCUACCCUGGUAUUGCAUUUCAUUAUAAGCUUUGUUGCAUUCAUUUAGUAAUGAGGAUUGAAAACCUUGACUAAAGGAUAUCCGCUGAAGGCCAUUUCUUGUUUCAGAGCUAUUAAAUGAUAUCUGAAGAUGAUAUGCUUAUUCGACAGCAAUAACUGUAUAGAUCUGGUAGUUGCAAGUUCAAAAUAAUAAUUUGGCCAAAACAACAAAGGUAAACAUCAUUUAAUUAAGAAAAAAAUUGAAAAAUGCAUCCCAUAUCAUAUAGGCAAAACUAGUUGAUUUUGAAGUGAUUUUAUUUGGAGGUUGCUUUACGAUUUUAUCUAAUCAGAAUUUGGCACCUUUCAACUGGAUUGAUGCACUUGUGUAAAGAAAAAGCUUUUGUCUUCUAAACUUGAUACUGAUAGUGUGGAAUUACUUUAAAUACAGUAAAUUUCUGUUUUUUAAUAUUUCUUCUUGGCUUAUGAGGUUCUUUGGUUUUUUAUAUGUCACAGUUCCAGGUCAGCAGAAUGGUUUGAUAUAUGCAAAAAUCUUUGGUGGAUUUGUGAAGAUAAGAUCUUCAGUAUGUUUUUCCUUCUUCUAAAGCACACUAUUUACUGGAAUUAAGAUAUUGUCAUGACAAUGCCAGAUAGCACAUGGUUUGGCAUGUGUCAUCCUUUGUGCUCUGCCCGUAAAUAGACUCAGCAAAGCUUUGUGCCUGUUUUUAAUACUUCUUGGAACAUCCAGUGCAUACACAUGGUUUGGUAAGCACAUGCUAAUGUGUUUUUUCUUUUUUCUUUUUGCAGAUUUGCGACCUUGUUGCUAUUGCAAGGCUCUUAAAUGCCACACUCGUCAUUCCAGAGAUCCAACAAAGUGUUCGUUCAAAGGGCAUCAGGUCUUUCUAACGAUGCUUUAUGUGCAGUUUUUGGUGCUCUAAUGUCUUUUGUACUAAAGAUGCAUCUGCUUAUUGCUUUUAUUUUUUUUUUGCAUACCAGUAAAAAAUUUAAGAGUUUCUCUUAUCUUUACGAUGAAGAACAGUUCAUAGCAGCACUUUUAGAUGAUGUUAUUGUUAUAAAGAGCUUGCCAGCAGAUCUGAAGGAGGCUAGGAAAAGGACAAAAUUUCCUACAAUAUCACCGAAACGAUCAGCUUCCCCAACUUUUUAUAUCAGAGAAGUCUUACCUAAACUUAAACAAUCAAAGGUUAUUAGGAUGCUAGUUUCUGAUGGAGGAUGCCUUCAGGUAUAAUUCAAGUCUUUUUUUUUUCUAAAAAUUUUAUUCAAAUUGAAAUUGGUUUUUACCUCCCUCCAUAAACUAAUACAUCUGAAGAAUUAGACAUGUCCUCUGUUUGUUAGUUUUCUCAGAACAAUAAUGUUAUCUUAGUUCUUGGAAAAGAAGAGGUGCAUACAAAAAGUUUCAAGCACCUCUUGUUCCCGGUUGUUACAAAUAAAUAAAUUAAGUAAAAGCUUAUAUGAUAUUGUGAGCUACCAUUUCUGUUGACUAAUGGAACUGAAGAUGUCACAUGCAUGACAUCGUUAAAAUCUUUGAGACUUUUUUCUUUUAUAUAAUCAGACAACCUAACAUACUGAUAGUUGGUUUUCUGAAUAGAAAUUGUACGCUGAGCACUUUAUGCAUUUUCUUCUACAAUAUCAUGUAGAGCUGAUAAUACCCCUCAAGUAUUGGUCUCUGGUUUCUGAGAAAGCAUUUUUAGACAAAAAAAAGGUCAUGAAAGCUAAUUCAGAUAAAAGAAGGCGCACGGCUAUGUUGUAACUCGAGCUCCUGCAGUCAGGAAACAGCUUUGUACAAUUAUACAGUAGAUAUUAGAAGCACAUAGAGGCAAGAGACAUGAUGAAACAUUAAUUCCUCUAUAGAGUGUUAUAUCAAUGAAGUAAAGUUAUGACAUGCACCAACUGAGUGGAUGUACUCUUCAGUGAUCCUCAAGACAAAAGAGUGAGGAAAGGUUUGCAUCUCUCUCAGUAUAUAUAUAAAUAUAAAUAAAUACAUACAUACAUACAUACAUACAUACAUACAUACAUACGUACAUACAUAUGGUGAGGUGCUAAGGAAUAUUUGCACAUAGAACUGUGGAUUGCAUUACAUAUGCAUCUUGUAUGUGAGCUGUAAAAAUGGUUUACCUCCAUCUUUACUGGGUUUUGUUGUUUAAUCAAUAUCCAGAAGUUAUAGGCCUUUUAAUAAGUAGACUACUAGUUUCAUAUAAUGCUUUUCUCCUUGAAGUUUUUGUUCAUGUAUGAUUAACUAAGUUGACAAGAAGAUUUUUUAGUUUGAUUUAAUAGGUUUAUAAAUAUUGAUAAGUGAUUGUCUUGUUCCGGAAGAAUAUUAGUGUCUAUUUUGAACAAAAACUAAAUAAAUGUUUUAAAAUUGAAAGUUAAUGUUUUCUCAUUAAAGGAUCUUUCUACCCAGCCUUAGGGUUGGCACUAUACAGAAGACUUUCAUUAACUGUAACAUAAUAACAUUGAAACUCAGGUGGAAAUAUAAAAACACUUUAUGGCUAUGGCUGAUUUUGUAUGUAAACAAAUGAAAAGUCCUCUUUGUAGAAGCUUUCUACAAAAAGAAAGAAGUAAUAUAAAUAUUACCAGACCAAAUGCAACUAUUAGCAUCAACAGCACCAGAAAUAUAGGUGUAAACCUGUUAUUUGGGGCUGCAUGUUCUUUGUUUCCCAAGAGCAUUAGAAAGAAAAGAGGCAGAAUAUUUCUGCAUGUCUUUAGGAAAUUCAUCUUUUAAGAAAAGAGUAACAUAUCUGAAAAGAGUUGUAUUUUUUGUUUCAAGUUCUAGGUCAAUCUGUUGAAAUGCCAAGGAAUAUUGUCCUAAUCUGAUAAUUUUGAUGGGCAUAUGUAUGGAUCCUCAAGGAGGAGGCACUUGAUAUGGGAUGUUUUUUUGACAACAAAAAAUCUUGUACCUAGCAAGAGAAUAAUGUGAAAAGAUUACAAUAGAGUUGCAUGUGAAAUUGAAAUAGGUUUCUCUGUUCAAAUAUUUUGGCUUGUUGCAAAACUAUUUUCAGUAUUCAAUACCUCAUAAGUCUAUUUGUUUUUCUUAUCCAUUCUUGUUUAUGUAGCCUAUCCUUCCAUCAAGCUUGGAUGAAUAUCAGAGACUUAGAUGCAGGGUUGCCUUCCAUGCUCUUAAAUUCCGCUCAGAAAUUCAGGCACUUGGCAAACAAAUGGUAGAAAGGUAUCACAUGUUUGCUAAAUCAUGAAUUAAAUGAAAUAGCUAAAGCUUUAUUCCAUAAAAGAAUAGAAUUCUUUGUUGCAUACAUAUAAGGGAUCAUUCAUAUUUAUUCUGUAAGGUUGUGUUUAUGAACUGGUGCCUGUAUUCCGCUCUCAAAAUUUUUAGUCAGAUUUGUUCUUGCCCGACUAUUACAAAGUUGGAGUGUGCUUAAAUAUGGCCAAUCUCAAAUUAAAUGUCAUUGCAGGUUACAGGCAACUGUUGGUCCGUAUCUAUCGUAUCAUCCAGGCCUUGUCAGGAACACCCUUGCAUUUCAUGGUUGUGCUGAACUUUUCCAGGUUGGUGCCAUUUAGAAGUAGUCUCAGUGCCAUAAGUAGUAUGUGGUUUGUUUCUUUUGUAUCUCAUUCGUUAUUUUUAUUACAAAGAAAAUUCAUUCAUUGUUUAACUCAUUAGUCUGAUAUUUGACAUGCUGGAUUCUAGUAUGUCGUGCAUGAUUUCAUAUCUACUUGACCAGAGUUCUUCUUGACACUGGAUAGGAUGUUCAUACUGAACUCAUUCAGCAUAGAAGGAAGCAGCUGAUAAAACAGGGAACAGUUGAUGAAGAUCUUAUUGUUGAUUCAGUUUCUAGAAAGACAAAUGGUUCAUGCCCUCUAUUGCCUGAAGAGGUGACUUUACCCAUUCAUCUCCAUUAUGUAAUAUUAUCUUGCUUAAAUGAUGCUAGGGCAAAUAUGUUUUAUUUCUAACUCCAAGAUAAGAAAACUUUUAAAUUUCUGGGAUUGAUUUUUUUGUUUCUAAUUCUUUAUAUUUUUGCUAAAAAGUUUAGGGCAUUGCUGGAAUAACUGGUUCCAUUUGCACUUCUGAUCAAUCUUCAACACUUUUUAUUAUCUUGUGGUUCACAUAUUUGGUUGUCUAUUUCUUGGUCUUGCUGUGGUGAAGUUUGAGCUUCCCGGUCAAUUGCUUAACCCUCCAAGAAUGUUUGAGAGAACUGACACCUUCCUGGUCGACCUUGCCUGAUCCAUCAUAAAUGUCUCCUUUGUCUUAUCCUCAGCUGUUAUUACCUCUACCUUAUUUAAUUGUAAUCAUUUUGGAUCGCACAAAUGAUUUAUAAUGCAGGUGAGUAGUAUUUGUUGAGCACUUAAGAGUAAUAAAGCAAGGUUAGGAAGAAAUUCAAUUUAAGGCUUUGAUUUCAGAUGAACUGCGAAUUUCUAGAUUCCAGUAGCAUCUUCUAUUAGAAAUUUGAACUUUCUUAUUUGUCCUCUCUAUAAGUAGAUGCAAUCAAGUUGCUCAAUAUUUCACCAGAAGCUACUUUAGCUCGCUAAAUGUUAUUUUGAGUGAAGUUAAUAAUCUUUGUGUAUUUUCCAUGUUCUAACAAAUUUUAGAUGUCUAUGUUGAAAUUUUAGCUUGAAUCUUUGCAGGUUGGACUUCUUCUUCGAGCAAUGGGAUAUCCACCAAAUACCGUAAUCUAUUUGGCUGGUUCUGAGACAUUUGGUGGGCAGAGGAUUCUAGUUCCAUUGCAAGCCAUGUAUACAAACUUAGUAGAUUGCACAUCCUUAUGCAGUAAGAAAGAGCUGUUAAACUUGAUUGGUCCUGAAUAUCCUCUUACUUCAAAUCUCUCUCAGCCUCCUCCAGUGAAGAGUGAAAAACAACUUAUUGAGGAGUGGAAGAAAGCUGGGCCUCGACCACGACCCCUUCCUCCCCCUCCUGCAAGGCCCUUUUACCAGCAUGAGAAUGAAGGUUGGUAUGGUUGGGUUGCUGAGACUGAUAUAGAGCCUGAGUUUUCGCCUUUGGAUCUUAGGAAGCAAGCACACAGGUUACUCUGGGAUGCUCUUGACUAUUAUGUUUCUGUUGAAGCUGAUGCAUUUUUUCCUGGUUUUAACAAUGAUGGUAGCGGAUGGCCUGAUUUUUCAAGCUUGGUCAUGGGGCACCGACUAUACCAAACACCUUCUGGAGUAACCUAUCGCCCUAGCAGGUAAAGUUCCUUAUAUUAGUUUGUUCCAUUUGAGAAAUAGAAGAAAUUAUUUGUCGAAGUAGCAUUUUUAUCUUUUGCAGUUCUCAAUGAUGCACUUGUUUUUUAUUGGAUCUUUCUUGCAUUAGAUCUUCUUCCUGGAUGAUCAUAACCUUGCUGCAGUGUGAUGCAGCAAUUACUCUUUCUGACACUUCAGAGACUGCUGGUGUUCUCUUCUUUUUCUUACAGCAGAAUUUUUAUUAGGUACAAUAGGAGCUGUAGACCAACUUGAGAAAAGCUCCAUUUAUCAGGCAUUUACAUAUUCAUCUAGGGAAAACAAUAUUAUGCUAAACUGAAACUAAUUCCCAGCAAUUGAGCUGUCCGCUUUCUAAUAAUGAUCCUUCGAUUGACCUAAGCUUUAAAUAGGAUGUAAUUGGAUUGACGGCUAUUUUUCUUUCUAUCAAAAAUGUGCUGCAGCAUCCCUUCCCCCUUUUCUUUCUUGCAACCUGCUGCUGCUACAGCAUGGUUAGCUGUUGUGCCAAAAUAGGGUGCUGGUAGAAUUUGUUAAUAGUAAUAAAUGAAUUGAAAAGAAAAAAGGAAAUAAAAGAAGAGAAUGACUUGAGGCCUUGCCCUCUGAUGACCAACCAUCUCCAGCAUCCUCUCGUUAGCUGUUCUGUUGGCUCAGACCUAAAGAGGGAGGUGACUGCAUAAAAAAUCUGUCAGUUUGAUGACCACCAUUUUAAGUAAAUAUAGACUGGAUGGUGGAUCAUCAACCAAGCUGCACCAAAUUGGCUGCAAACUAAUGUUUCAGUAAGCCAGUUCAUGUGCUUUGAUUUCUUUGAAACUUGUUUGAAAAAAAGGGCUGCUAUGCCAGUGAUUUUCCUGUUGAAAUUCAAAUCGUUGAUCUUUGACCAUAUGUUUGAAAAGAUUUCUGCCUAGUCUCUGUAAAAAAAGUAUGAUCAAGACAAUCCUAGUAAUACUUGGAGUGCACUACAAGGGUUAAAGUGAAAUUUUUUUUGUGGUAUUGGACAUGGUCAAGUGUGUACAAAUUUCAAGAGAAGGGAACGUGGGUUACAACAAAUAUUUGGCAGGAUUGUUAUUAAAAAUCUGGAAUGUUUGAUAGCUGAACUCUCCCUUUAUUUUAUCAAAAUCUUGAUAUCUAUGUUUUCUUUGUAUGGUUUCCAUGGUGGUUGACAUAUUGCAACUGUGUAUUAUUUGUUUUGUUGCCUAACUUAAUGCAUUUCUGAAAUUAUUAAACUUUCACCUACCUAAAUUCUCUUUCCAGAAUUUCUUAUUGUGGAUAGAUUGUUGUAUAUAAAGACAACUAAUUUGAAUUAUGAUAGCUCCUUUCCAUAUCUGCUAAAAGAGGCUCUACAUGGCUAUUUUCCAUGCAAACCAUUUGAAUGAGUUGGGGCAACAAAUGAAUUUGACAUCUUUUAGAAAAUCUGGUCUGUCACAGACAACGUGCCAAAGGGGUGUGAUUUGUUCGUUCUUGUAGAUUUUAUACUUAAAAAUUUAGAGUUGAGACAGCUGCGCUAUUUUCUAAUAUGUACACUACUGAGUUUUGCUUCCACCAGGAAAACACUUGCUGGGCUGUUUGGCUCUGUACAUGAUAACUUGUAUCAUCCAACACACAAUUGGAUGCAACUGGUGCGGGAUCAUCUUAACAAGAGCUUGGGUAUUGACGGACUUCUAGCAGGGGCUAAAUCAUCAAAACCUGCAAAUUUUCUUUCCUACCCUUUCCCAGAAUGUGCCUGCCGAACUUCGAAAUCUUAUGACAUUCCUGCACAUGUGAUGAGCAGCAAUGGUGAGAUAUUGUAUGGAAUUGAGGAUGAAUGUCCUGAAUGGAUGGUUCGUGGCCUAGCAAUGGCUUCCUUUAAGACAACUGGUGCCAAAGAUGAGGAUGUUGACGAGAUCGAGUUGCUGGAAGAUGACAAUGAGACAGACGGACAGUCUGAGUCUGAUAAUGGAAGCCGAAGUGACACAAGCAGAUCCAUGGAGCAUGAUGAAGAGAUGGAUCUAGAUGAUUAAAACAUAAUAGUGAAUAGAGAGAUCCAAAUUUGAAAUUGGCUCUUUCGGGAUGAGUUUGAAAGCUGUUUGUCAAGGCUGUAAAGAUAUAACCAAAGCUGCAAUCACUGUGAGUAUUCUUCUUCCGCAAGCAGAUCGAGGACACAUGCUUAGUUGCAGUUGUGGAGUGCUUGUUGAAUGUUCGGUCUCCAUAUACAAUCUACUACAGAAGUUAGCCUUAGCAUUCUUUUUGCUCCUGCCCUCUUUCAUAAAUUCCUUAUUUUAAUUUAAUCUGUACAUUUUAGUCUGUAUCUUUAUGUACAUCAUUCGUUAGUUUGGGGAGGAGUAUAAAAUUUCUUGAACCCAUAAAGAACCAGAGAUAUAAACCACUUUCUGAUCUUUGGACUACCAAAAUUGAUGCUGCUUGUUUCACCUGUGCAGAAAAUCAAGUUUGGCUCCUCACAACUACCUAGUGCUAUAUUAAUAUUUCAUACAACUCUACCAAUGCAGUAACAUGGCCAUGUGCGUAAUCAGAUGAAGAUUUCAUGGUCCUGUGACAUCUGAUUUGAGUAUGAUGACAGCAUUGUUUUUGCAUUUAAUGCAUGUUUUGAUGCAAUUCUUGGUCUAUUGAUGUUCGUAUGGCUGAAAUCAACUCUUUCUCAACAUGCUGUGAAGCUGGCUGUUGUAUCUGCAUUGACCAGUACUCAGCUGGAUCCCCCAUUAGAGUGAAGAAGUAUCUUGGUGUGUGCAGAGAUUGUCACACGGCAUUUAAUUUUAUGUGCAAGAUUGUUCCGGGGGAGAUCAUCAUCAGAGACACCAACCAAUAUGUUUCAUUGUUUCUGAGAAUGAGCAUGUUCUUGUGGAAAUUACUGGUGACUUUGUGAGGGAUCAGGAUGUACAUUAGGAUACUGGUGACUUGUUUUUAUUAAUAAUAUCACCAAACAUUUUCAGCAGGAGUCACAACCUCAGCUACUUGAAGAUUACUGAAGUUACAAGGGAUUUAUUUUCAGUUUUGGCAAAUCAAUGAAACACAAGUGUUUUAAGACGUAAGGAGUAUUCAGAAGUAUUGUUGCUUGGCUUCUCAGGAUUUAAUCAUUUCUCUCUUGUAUGAAUUAUUAUUUUUUGCAUUGUUGAAGAAGAGCAUGAUUCCUCUUGAUUCAUCCUUCCCAGAUAAGGAAGCAGAGAUCAUGAGGUAUGUCAAUUCUACUUUGAUAUGUGAAAUUGCAUUUUCCUUCUUAAAUUGUCUUUCAAACCUCUUAAGUUUGUGCCAGUUUCAUGUUUUUUUGCAAGUAGAAAAAUAUUGGUAGCACCUUUCAAUUGUGGCUGGAGGUGGAAGAAUGUUGAGAGGUACUUUCAAUCCUAAAUCACUCUCAAAAACUAGCUUGCUACUGAUUGAGUUUAUAAUUGACCUCAAUAUCUUUAGGGUAAUCACCAUGGAUAAUUGACCUCGAUGCCUGGAUUUGUUCAAGCUUAAAUAUCUCUCUGCUGAGUGAGGUUUUCAUCAAUAAAUUUCUUCAUGCUUUUUAGUUUCUCCUCAUCAGUUAAAAUAAUCAUAUGAUUUUUUCAGGUGAUCGAAAGAUAAAUUAAAACUAAUAUUGAGGAAAAAAAGAACUUGUGAAUUCAUCAAAUUGCUUUAAUUAACGUUGACCUGCAGGAACUUUGGAGUCAUGCAUGAGUCAUGUGGGGUACUUCUAAGGAAAAUUUGACUAUAUCUCCAGGAAGAAUGACCUUGAUUGCAACUUUAAUCUGUGUUUACCUUAACCUAAAAAGAGGAUUACAUGGUACAGCCCAGCUCGACCAGAUUAGGUUUCAUCACUAAAAUAGUGAGUUCAGACAAUUGCAAAGUGAGUUGGUGUUCAGAAUCUGCAGGUCAUAACUCGAAACUUUGCAUGUGAGCAGGGGACACAAGCGCACUCAUUCAGAUCUAAUGUGACCUUCUUAGGUUUCCUGGGACAAGUUUUAGGUACUGUGGCCUUCAUGGAGGCCAGGGUUGGUGCAAGAUUCAUCCUCAGUUUGAGUUGCUACAGGGAAGUUUCCAGGUACUUUCUUGGUGGAGUUGGUUGCAGCGUAGAACUCCAUUUGAAGUCAAAGGUCAAGUCUUAAACACCUUCUUUUAUCAAGAACACAAGGUCUGAUCUCCUUACUGAUUCCAUGAAAUCUUUUUUUGAUUCCCAACUUGCCUUUGACUUUUAUUUAUCCCUAUCUACUAGCUUCUGUGGCAACAGCCAAGUACUUGGAUGAUUAGGUUAAGAAAAGCACUUGCAGUCUGAAAGGAAACUAGAAACUACACUUUGGUCAUCUCAAUCUCUUUCCCAAGUCAUGGCAUGGCCAGAAAAGCUGGAGUUGGUCCAAAAAAUUCCUGAGCACAACAUGCAAUGCGUUUGCCCCACAAGCAAGUGAAACUCAACUUGGCUGCUGCACCAGAAAUAGGAGCCCUUCCAAUCUUUUCCUCCUCCUUUUCUCCCUCGUUUCCUCCUUGUUAAUGUCGGUCAUUGAAACCAUCAAGAAGGCUGCUCACCUGUGCAGCCAUCUGUGCUGGCUUCCUUUGACAUGUUAUAGGUCUCAAAGAGAUGGAUGAAGUAAUUGAAUUGAACUAAUAAAACCUCAUGAAAAGAGAGGUGUCAAUAUGAAUACAUGGACAAAGGAAAAAGGAGAAGCCUCGAGCAUGUAGCUUCAAGAGCCACCAACAAGUGUAACAAACGAAGAUUAAUGGACUACUUGUGCAGCUACAGAUUCACAUUCCUCCUGUGUGUGUUUAUGUAUUGUUGUGAUCAUCUCAUUGAAUUAGUGAUCAUGAUCAUUGCCAUUGCCAGAGCUUGAUCCAUCCCAGGCUGCACCCUCAGGGUUAGAACAUCCUUGUCGAGUAAUUUCUUCGCCAUCGAACCGCACUUUCUGCUAACCUGUCCACCAAAUAUUUGAUCGUUCGAUCAAUACACAGUUGCAUUUAGUUGAAUCAUCCGACACUAGAGUCGAUAGAUACCUCAGCCACCGGUGUGUUUGCUGCAGCCUGGUAGAUCUUCGACCACUCCUUGUCUCGCGACCAGUUCAUCCUGUAGCCUAAAGGCUUCACUCCACAGCCCGUGAACAUGGAUAUGGUGCAACUAUGGCAGCCCAGGUUCUUCGUUGCCUUGAACAGAGGCAUUCUCUCUCCGACCAUCCUUUGCACGUCUUUGUCGCCCUUGUAGGCCUCCCAGCUCUCGGUCAAGUUUAGAAUCUGUACCACAUAGAUGAGCAUUAGAAACCAGUAGCAGCACAUUUCUCGAGUUCAGGAGUUGAAGUCUAUCGUUUUGAGUAGAAUGGAUGGGAGAGAAGUGUACGUCUUUUGUUGGAUUGGGUAGAAGAUUGUGUGAUUAGAGAUUCAGUGGGUCUCUUUCAGGCUGAUGGAGGAAUGCUUUUUAGCCUAAGGAAUGAAUUAUUGAGGUCAUUUCUUGGGUGUCGGUAGGUUUAAUGCUUGUUCUGCAAUUUAUGAUAUUGAGGAGACAUCAAAGCUUCGUUGUCUAUUCAUUUCAUCAAAUCGCGUAUCUCUUACAUCCUUUCCUUCAUUGUAUUGGAUCGCACAGACAACGCAAUGGAGCAGUGAAGAAGAAGAAGAAGAAGAAGAGUCGUAGGCUGACCUUGCGACGGCGGCGGAUGGUGAGCAGGACAUUGCCGGUGUAAUCCAUGAGCACGGUCUCCUGCCUCCAGUUGUGGGCGUAGUUGUCGACGCGGAAGACCAUCCGGCCGUCAGAGUCAUCGUAAACGGUGUAGCCGUGGCCGUGGAAGAGGAGCGACUUGCACCAGACGGUGAGCCGGACGGGCGCCGGCGAACAGAGGUCCGGGAAGAUCUCCCUUCCGCACAUCCGGUCCUCCGCUGGAUUCUUCUUCCCUCUCGUGGCUUCCAUGAGCAAACGAGGCGGAGAGCUUGAACCUCGACGGAAGCCUUCCCUCGGGAACUUUUAUAGUGGCUCUUGCGAGGGGUGGUGGGAUCGCUGUUGACUGCAUGCAGCCUUGUGAUUCGAGGGGGAUGCAUGCAUGGGUUUGACGAGAAACGUGGAGAUUUGGCUUGUUGAACACCGGUGAGGAAGCUUCGUGAUCACCCGUCUCUUUGCUUGAGACAGCCACCGGACCAGUUUUGAUCCUACAUUUGGAUUUGACCUGACUUAGUUCAUUCUCUACUGUUAUCCUCAUCCCAAAACAAAAAGAUACGUAUGUGUCUCUUAUCUCAUUUUAGUUUGAGGACAAAAAGAUACAUAUUGUUCGUAUGAGGUCAUUUCGUAUUGUAUUGUUUUCGUAAUCUUGGAGUCAAUAGGGGAAUAAACUUCUUAGAUACUUUAUUGAUGAGGCUCGUUCAGUAUCUAAUAGGUUGGUAUAUGAUCAAUCAAUCAUGCAGAAAGUUUGAUGCGGCGGUCAUGCAAUUAGUCUAUAAUAAGCGUUUGUUCCGUUAUAAUGAUAUCGUUUGUCGCAUCCCUAACUUUAUAUUCUUCAGAAUAAGUUCCACAUUUUUCAGCUCUUCAAUCCCAAGAACAAAGUGGCGGCCUAAAAGGAGAAGGUAGUCAACGCUUCUCGUUCAACUUUCCCGACUGCCUACACCAUCUAUCUCACUUCUUCCUCAUUUACGCGGGCGAUAUUUGGACUAAUGAUCAUGACAUCUUCACAAGGAAGGAUGCGUCUAAUGACUUUUCUUUGCACCAUCCAACCUUUUCGCAUCCCUGACUGAGCUUUUGGAACAUUUCUUCUUUUCCUGUUCCAAUAUUCUGCGUCACUAUUAUCUCAUUCCUGACACAAGAGAGAGAGAGAGAGAGAGAGAGAGAGAGAGAGAGAGAGAGAGAGAGAUUGCGGUCUGAAACUAGAGCAAGUGGACGAUGUCGUCAUCCACAAUUUUGAUGGAAGAAUGAUGGCAAUGUUGGAAGUGUUGCCAAGGAAUCGAAUCGAUCACGGUGGCAUGGGAGUUCUUCCAGCAUCGUCUCCACCAGUGGUGUGUGUGUGCUUUUUCUUACUAGAUGAGCAUGAUUUUUGCAAGGCGAAAUUUCCAUUCGGCUUCAUGGUUAACUGGUCCAACCCAACUCCUCCUCAUCUCAAUGGUAUUCUCGAUGAUGAAUAUUUAGUUGAUGUGAAUAGAAAUAUGUUCAUUUGAUGAUGACGUACUCAUCUCAUUUGGUAUUAUUCCAAGUACAAAAUGAGACCGAUUGGUGGGGGAAUGAAAUAUGAUUGAUUUGUGAGAGAGGAAAAAAUUGCAUGUAGAAGAUAUGGAAUGAGAAAUUUUGCUUUCAUAUAUUCUAUGUUGAGGAUCUUUUCACGAUCAAAUUUAAUUAAUAUUUAGAUAAAAAUAUGACUAAUUUAAUAGUCAUAUUAUGUCUAAAUAUUAGGUCGAAUGCCAAAUGGUUAAUUAGUUUAUCAAUUUUGUUUGACAUAAAUAAUUGAUCAAAAUGUUUAAACUGAAAUUAACUUAUACACCAAUUAGAUUUUUAUAAAUCAAUUUUGAUCUUAUCUAUUUUUGAUAUAAAAUUAAUUGAGAGUAUUAUAAUAUAAUUAUAACUUUAAGUUUUUUGAUCACUCAUGUAGAUUAAACGAAAUUGAUGAAUCAAUUAACCUAUCAAACUCGAGUGACAUUUGAUAUCAUAGAUCUAGUAUUUGAAUAUAACAAUGAGGUCUGAUAGAAAAGAGCUACAUGGAUGGAGUCAAAAGACUCGUCACAAUGUGAAACUACCAUUGUGCUAUACCUCAUAUGUAUCGUACUAAGAUUUGAUCUGAAUUAUGUUAAACCUGACGUAAAACACUUGAGUGAGAAGGGAUAUUAACACCCUUGAUCCAACAUCCAAAAUAGGUAAGAUUAAAUUUUACUUACAAGAAUAUGAUUAAAAUUAUUAUUAAUUUCAACCUAAAUAUUUUAGUUAAUAAUUUAGAUUAAAUAAAAAUAUUUUUUGAUUUAAUUUAAUUAAAUUAGUUUUAAUUAAAUUAUAAUUAACUUUACCUUCAUUCUUAUUUAUUUUUCUCAUCUCCAACCCGAAGCGAAUCCCGUGCAUACCGUCAUUCUUAUUUAUAGGGCCUCUUCCUCUCACUUGAUGCCAGUAGAUAGGUACAUGAGGAGGGUUGAGUUAACAAUGAACCUACUGAAGUUAUUAACUCAAAUAUAUAAUUAAUGCAUAUCAUGAGAAGAAUAGACCAAUUAAGGUGUUUAUUCUAUCCAAUAUUAUGUUUUUUUCCCUGAAUGAAUGUGGAUAAGAUAUAUUAUAGAUCUCGGCCACGUUAUGAUCCACGUCAUGUCACACCCUUGACUUGCCAAGUCAACACGAGGGCUACAUUUCUCCCACGUUGAGCCGGAGCCCGUAUAAGGAGGUGCCCCCUCGGCAAGUCCCGUCUCAGACAUUGAUCCAUGGAUCAAGCCGUACUGAUUCUUUAACCACGACACAUAGUUCACCGACAAAUAUAAAUAUGUCUUUCGUACUAUUCAAAUAUAUAUAUUUUUAACUAAGUAAAAAAUAAUUUAUGGUAUAUAUAAAACUAGGUGAUAUUAAUUAACUAGGCCUAGGCUGAGUAUCAUAUAUAAUUCAUGCAUAUCAUAUCAUCCGAACAAUGGACCAAUUAAGGUGUCUCCAAACUCCAUAAAUAUGUCCUUCAUACUAUUCAAAAUAAUUAAAAAAAUAAUAAUUUAUGGUAAUAUGUAUUAAUAUAUAAAAUAAUUUAUGGUGAUAUUAAUUAUUAGGCCUAAGGCUGCAUUUGAGAGCUUAGAUGUUUGUUAAUGGGCCAAUUAUAGGCUCAUAAUUUGGGCCUUAGAUGAAGUUGAGCGUUUGUUAGGGCCCAUUUUGAAGUUGCAUUCAGUAUUUUCUUUUAGAUUUAUUAGAUGUAAUAAAUAUACGGAUGCAAUUAGGGGAAAAGAAUGUUAAUGAUGAUUCAAUUACAGGGAUUAAUGGUCUCCUAAGGAUGUUUUAAUGGGGUUGGUUAUGCUGCGCACCUGCAGGUUUGCCGUUUCGUAAACGUACGGUCGUUCCCUGUGCUAAAAGAUGAGACUGCGUGAGCUGUCCGCGCCGUGGGUUCGCAACAACCAAGUGGAUACAGCCAGACGGCCGGCACAGGAUAUGGCGUGACGACAUGCGCAAGCGGUGUGCACACCAAGUCACCGGUUAGUUGAACCCACUCGAGUCCCCCGACCGCCCCACGUGCCCUCCGCGUGACCCGAACGACGACGUCUCCCCCCUCCCCGCUUCUCGAGACCCCCAUGGGUGCAGAAACAUCCGUCCGAGGACCGACAGGGUUCGGGAUUACGGUUCGAAAAUGUCGUUUCCCCCGCGUGGGUCCCACGGACGAGGGAGGAACGGCACCCUGGAUGGUGAUUGGAAGCGUAAGAGGGGAUUCCGUAUGGGCGGGGGUACCAACUCGAUCGUGAGGCGUGAGCCGACCCUCCUCCGUCCCCGCGCUGACCUCGGCGAGCCGAUGCGGAGGGGUAGCGUCGUCAUUUUAUCCUUUCGUUUCUAUCUUUUUUGGGUCUCUCCCCGUCAUCUAGGCGACGCCGGCUAACGCCGAAAUCUUCUCUCUCUCUCUCUCUUUCGGGGGGGACAAAAGAAGAGGGCGAGCGAUGCGGCGGAAGGUGGCACCGGAUUCGACGGCGAUGGUGGCGGGAGGAGGCGGCGGGGGUGCGACGGAGGCGGAGCAGGCGCAGCUGUUCUCGGCGAUCAGAAACGGGGAGGACCUGGGACCGUUCGUGCGACGGGCGUUCGCGUCCGGGCGGCCCGAGUCGCUGCUGUCUUCCCUGCGUCAGUUCGCGCGGUCCAAGGAGGCGGAGAUCGAGGACGUGUGCAAGGCGCACUACCAGGACUUCAUCCGCGCUGUCGACGACCUCCGCUCCCUCCUAUCCGACGUCGACUCCCUCAAGUCCGCCCUCGCCGACUCCAACGACGCCCUCCAGUCCGCGGCUGGCCCCCUCCUCGCCGCCCUCGACGCCUACCUCGAGGCCCGCUCCAUCGCGGCCAACCUCGCCGCGGCCCUCCGCGCUGCCCGCCUCUGCUCCCGUCUCUUCGCCCUCCUCGCCCGCGCCAACGAGCACCUCGCCGCCGACCACCUCUAUCUCGCCCUCCGCGCCGUCGCCGCCGCGGAGCGCGACCUCCUUCCCGCUGCCCCCCACCCCACCAUCCGCCGCAUGCUCCUCCGCCUCAUCCCCGCCGUCCGCGCCCACGCCGAGCGCAAGAUCUCCAAGGAGUUCUCCGACUGGAUGGUCCAGAUCCGCGUCGCCAGCCGCCACCUCGGCCAGAUCGCCAUCGGCCGCGCGUC
rnacentral:lncRNA from 1 species